GAUGAACGCUGGCGGCGUGCCUAAUACAUGCAAGUCGAGCGAACAGAUGAGGAGCUUGCUCCUCUGACGUUAGCGGCGGACGGGUGAGUAACACGUGGAUAACCUACCUAUAAGACUGGGAUAACUUCGGGAAACCGGAGCUAAUACCGGAUAAUAUAUUGAACGGAAUGGUUCAAUAGUGAAAGACGGUUUUGCUGUCACUUAUAGAUGGAUCCGCGCCGCAUUAGCUAGUUGGUAAGGUAACGGCUUACCAAGGCAACGAUGCGUAGCCGACCUGAGAGGGUGAUCGGCCACACUGGAACUGAGACACGCUCCAGACUCCUACGGGAGGCAGCAGUAGGGAAUCUUCCGCAAUGGGCGAAAGCCUGACGGAGCAACGCCGCGUGAGUGAUGAAGGUCUUCGGAUCGUAAAACUCUGUUAUUAGGGAAGAACAAAUGUGUAAGUAACUAUGCACGUCUUGACGGUACCUAAUCAGAAAGCCACGGCUAACUACGUG
rnacentral:rRNA from 1 species